rnacentral:rRNA from 1 species
CCUACGGGAGGCAGCAGUGGGGAAUAUUGCACAAUGGGGGAAACCCUGAUGCAGCGACGCCGCGUGAGUGAAGAAGUAUUUCGGUAUGUAAAGCUCUAUCAGCAGGGAAGAAAAUGACGGUACCUGACUAAGAAGCCCCGGCUAACUACGUGCCAGCAGCCGCGAUAAUACGUAGGGGGCAAGCGUUAUCCGGAUUUACUGGGUGUAAAGGGUGCGUAGGUGGUAGGGCAAGUCAGAGGUGAAAGCCCGGGGCUCAACCCCGGGACUGCAUUUGAAACUGUUCAGCUGGAGUGCAGGAGCGGUAGGCGGAAUGCCUGGUGUAGCGGUGAAAUGCGUAGAUAUCAGGAGGAACACCAGUGGCGAAGGCGGCUUACUGGACUGCAACUGACGUUGAGGCACGAAAGCGUGGGGAGCAAACAGGAUUAGAUACCCCUGUAGUC